rnacentral:rRNA from 1 species
UACGGAGGGUGCGAGCGUUGAUCGGAAUAACUGGGCGUAAAGGGCACGCAGGCGGGCUUUUAAGUGAGAUGUGAAAUCCCCGGGCUUAACCUGGGAAUAGCAUUUCAGACUGGGAGUCUAGAGUACAUUAGGGGGGGGUAGAAUUCCACGUGUAGCGGUGAAAUGCGUAGAGAUGUGGAGGAAUACCGAAGGCGAAGGCAGCCCCUUGGAAAUGUACUGACGCUGAUGUGCGAAAGCGUGGGGAUCAAACAGG